GUGAAAUUAUUUUUUGCAUCAUUUAAAUGUGCAGAAGACAUUAAAAGAAAAAACUGCUUUAUCCUCCUGUCAGUACCCCCUCCUACCCCUGCAACAAGGACUUGCUUUAAAUAGAUUUCAGCUAUGCAGAAAAAUUUAGCUUAUGCUUCCAUAUUUUUUAAUUUUUUUUUAAGUUUUGCACUUUUGUUUAGUCUCGCUAAAGUUAUAUUUGUCUGUUAUGACCACAGAAUUAUAUGUGUGUGUAUCAAAAGUGGUCUCAAAAUAUUUUUUUAAGAAAAAAAAAAGCAGAAACAAUGUAUUGCUGAUAAUCAGUUUGGACCAGUUUCUAAAGGUCAUUAAAUCAGAAGCAAAUUAAGACAGGUUUGACUGCAGUGGUGUCUGGUAUCCAUGUUUUAUUUCUGGGCACAAGCUAGUUUGUAUGUUGAUACGUUCCUGAACGCAUUAUCUGUUGGACAUUCUUUUCUCUGUGUUUUGUUUGAAUGUGCAAUAGUCUAUAGGCCACAAAUAAGCUUUCUCAUAAGCUCUCUUCCUAACAGAGCACACAUUCUUCCAAGAUCUGAACAUUUUCCUUCCCCACCCUCCAUACUAUUGGCAGAACACUGUGUGGAAAAAUCAUUCAACUGGCAUGCCAAGUCCCUGUGGAAGGAAGAAUUGCUGCCAAACCUAUCAUUUUUGAGCAGACUGAGACUUACCUCUCUCUCUUCAAAACUGUGUUUCUUCACUAAUCUUAUUUUCAUAGUUUUUCCAUUUGCCAGUUUUUACAUCAUCUUUGAUACAUGA
rnacentral:lncRNA from 1 species